UACGGGGGGGGCAAGCGUUGUUCGGAAUUACUGGGCGUAAAGGGCUCGUAGGCGGCCAACUAAGUCGGACGUGAAAUCCCCAGGCUCAACCUGGGAACUGCGUCUGAUACUGGAUGGCUUGAAUCCGGGAGAGGGAUGCGGAAUUCCAGGUGUAGCGGUGAAAUGCGUAGAUAUCUGGAGGAACACCGGUGGCGAAGGCGGCAUCCUGGACCGGCAUUGACGCUGAGGCGCGAAAGCUAGGGGAGCAAACGGG
rnacentral:rRNA from 1 species